rnacentral:lncRNA from 10 species
AACACCACCUGCCAACAUUCAGCCUCCUCUGCCCAUCAGCCUUGCUGACACAGGGAGUGGAGAUUUGUGUAGAGAAAUGACUCAUUCAAAUAUGACUUAAUCUAAACCGUAAGUGUAUGAUUUAUUAAUGUGCCACCAGGCCUUACACCAAGAGAGCCAUUCCAGAGAAAAGUCCUUUUUCUCCUGAGAACAGUGCCAGCAGCUGGCUUCGUGACAUUCUGGAAGCCCCGUGCAAUGCUGUCAGGAGCAUAGGGAUUUUACUUUAUCUCCCUUGCUUAUGCUCCACAUAACUGAAAUAUCUCACUGGAAGCUGCAGCAGUGCUGGCCCCUUGCACAGCCAUAUGUGACCACUGCAGAACAAUCAGUUGGAGAGACAGUUUGGACUACAUGGAGGGUGGAGAUAAGGACAAAGUGAAGAAUACACAGGAACCAGUGCCUCCUCCUGGAACUAUGCAACUCCAAGCUGCUUCCAUCAGCUGCUAGGUCCAGUAGGGAGGGACCUACUGAGAGAAGGUGCCUGCUUCCCUUUCCGCUGUGAUUGUAAGUUUCCUGAGGCCUCCUCAGCCAUGUGGAACUGUGAGUCAAUGAAACCUGUUUCCUUUAUAAAUUACUCAGUCUCUGGUAUUCCUUUAUAGCAGUGUGAAAAUGGACUAAUAUACUUGCCCUUCAUCCCAACGAUGGAUUUAAGACUAGAGACAUUUCAAAUAGUAGGUUUUUUGCCAAAUGCCUUUCGCUGUAGAAAUUCUAUACAUGGCCUUUGUCUGUUACACUGGAAGUCCUGCCACUUCUUAGAUGGUGGAGAUUAAAACAGCGAUUUCUUGUGGUGGUGGCGGGGCUGGGGUUGGGAACAUUGAGGAUAAGGUGGGAGCUGCCCAUCUCAGACACUACUGAGAUAGUGGGAUGGGCCACAUAAAUGUCUAUGGAAGAGAUGCCUUUGCCAUACAAUUCCUUCAACAAAUACUCAUUGAUCACACACCAUAUCUGGGGGUGUAGCUGAGAACAAAACAAAGCUCCUGUUUUGAGGAGCUUUAGGCUGUAGAGAAAACAGAAAAUAAACAAGCAAGCAAAUGGAUGUUUUUAAGUGGCAAAAGUGCUAUAAAGGAAACAAGUAGUGGGAUGAGAUGAGGGGAGGAGAACUUCAGGUAAGGUGGCAUCAGAGCAGGAAGCUGAACUGAGGGUGAGUGAGCUGAGCUCAACAGAAAGGACUGUUGGACUGAGCCAGCCACAUGGAGAUCUGGAGAAGGGAAGAGGGCACUACCAUUUUGUUUUUGUUUUUUAUUGGAUUUAAGACGUCACUAUUGUACCUCUAAAAGAAAAAAAAAAACUGUAAUUAUAAUUGUAAAUUACAAAAUUGAUUGUAAAACACAUUUUGAUAACAAUGAAUUAAAAUAUGUUAAAUUACAUGCCUUAGCAUCAAUAUAUUAGUUCAAAAGCCCAGAAGUGUUAAACAAGCUUAGUGCUUAUCUAAGCAACUGAAAAGAAUCUGAUAUGUUUAUAGUUGGUGAAUGACAGAGAAAAAGAUAUGAGGUUUCAGGGGGGCAAAAGGAUAAAUCUUGAGGUCUUAGUUUAAUUAAAAACGGGUGAUGAUACCAUUUACUGAGAUAGGAGAGAUUUCAGGUUGCCAAGAUGUCAAUUUCAGACAUAUUUUAUAUAUGUUAAGUGACAAUUAAGAGAAGGAGGGUUAAAAGGAGACUUAAGAUUCAGUGAAAACUCAAGGUUUAUGAAGACUUUUGCUCCAUAUCCAUCAGGAAACCAGAAAUCCCUGAAAUUAAUAGCUGAAUAAAUAGAAUAAGGUCAACAUUAUUUUUAACACAUAUUUUUAUGUCAUAUGCAUACUAUGUCACCAUAAUCAGUAAACUGUUAAAGUGCCAGAAAAUGCUUCUACAUCAUUUUCAUUCUGACAGGAAGUAGAUAGAAAUGGCAUGUAUCUACGAAGCCAAGUUCUUUCAAAAUUUACAGCUUAAUUUCUCCAAUUGUUUAGAGUGAUAAAUUUUUCACUGAGGCCAUUGACCAGCACAAUAAUUGUGUCUACACAGCAUGUUUAUAUCAAAUACCAUUGCAUCUGUUAUGUCCUGUUCAUGCUGUGACCUUCCCAGAAGGCAGUUAGGGAUUGAAACUAGUACGCACAAUAGUGUAGAUCAGAAAACUGAUGUCAGGCUCUAGUGACAUGUGUAGGUACUGGCAGAACUGGAAUUAGAACCAGAUUUCUACAGUUGCACCCCUGGUUCUUUGCUCCAAAUGCUAAAGCCCUUGGUUAUUUGAUUUUCCUGUUGUCUUUAUCCUAUCCCCAGGCUCUAUUUGGGUUUCUGUAGUGAAAUUAAGGAUAACCUCAUCUGCAUGCUGUACUUUCUUAAAUAGAUUUUUCUAAUCUCCCAUACUCCCACAACCAUAAAUGACAAAAUACAAGCAUGCUUAGGAUCAUUGUGCCCCACAAUAAAAAAAGCUGUUGCUAUGUUUUGGAAACAGAUCAAUCUUGGUAUUUAAGUGUUGUUUGAACAAAGAUUAACUGAGCCUGUUCUCCUCCCCCAGGUACUCAGACCCAGAACAUACUGUUUUCACUCCAAGAGUCUGAAUGUCUCUUUUCUGAGAAAGAUGAAGAAAAAGUACUUUUUUCAUGAAUUUAAUACUCAUUAAAGUCAAUAGUCGGAAAGCCUGGCUAAUUAGCAGACUUCUUCAGAGGACUUUAAAUAAUAUAGUUACUGUAUUUUUAUUAUAUUGAAAUCUCCAAAUAUAUAAAGUUAGAAUCUUCAAGGUGGGAGGAAGAGGAGAAAUUGGAUUUCUCUAAGCUCCCUAGUGAUUCUGAUGAUGACUCAUUUGGGGAAGUGCAGCAUUGAAUGGCCCUUCUAAAAUGAGGACAGCUAUUUUUUGGACUAAGCACCCCUCCCGACUCUCCCCAUUCCUCAUCCUCUCAGAGACUUCUCUCUCUCAGAUUGCCCCAUCUGUCUCAUGUAUUAUAAUCACUUCCCCUCUACUGGUUUCUUCUCAUACGUUUAACUUGUUCAAGUGCCUUCCAUCUUUAAAAACAGUCAAGGCACAGCCCUUGAUUUAACCAUAGGAAGCCCGCUCCCCACCACCCUGCCAUCAGCUCUCUUCUUCCUGUGUAGUGAGCACUGCUUCUUUGAGCUUCUGAAAGCUGUAGUCACUGCCUCUUGCUGGUAACUGAAAGCACAUUUCUAAGUUCGCAUAUUCCCUGACUUCUUGACAGCACUCAUGACUCGCCAUCUCCUUUUCUGGAACACUGUUUGCUUGGCUUUCACAAUAUCAUGCUUUUCUAGUUCUUUUUCCUGUUUUGGACACUGCUUUACAGAGAAUUAACAUUCCUCUUUUUCCCGCUGACCCUGAAUCAAGAAAGAAUCAUGUUUCUUUCUUUAUUUUUUAUAUCUUAACUUUUGAGGGGUAGAUUUUCAAGCAUACAUAAAAGUGAAGAGAACAGGAUAAUGAACUAGGUGUACACAUGACUGCAUCUUAUCAGUGCAAUACACACUCAUAUUACUUUUUCUAUACUUCAUCCAUUUUCUCCCUGCUCCCUGACUUGGAUCAAAUCCCAGACAUUACAUUAUUUAACCUGCAAAUAUUUCAUCAUAUAUAUGUGGGAAUAUAUAGAUCUCUAUCACUAUAUAUAGUGAGAAUUUCUUUCAAAGAAAAGAUAAUCACAAUAUUAUAAUCUCAUCAAAUGUAGUUGUUAUAAUUCCUUAAUGUCAGUCUAAUAACAAUCCUGUUUUCACAAUUUCUUCUCUUGUAGAUUUUUAAAAAUUAAUUUUGUUGAAUUGAAAUCUAAAUAAGAUACAGAGAUAAAGAUUCAUUGACAUGUCCCUUAAGUAUUUUAGUUUAUAGGCUGUCCUACUAUAUUCCCUGCCUCUUCUUGCAUUUUAUCUUGAUUCAGUUGAAAACUCUGGGUCAUUUGUCUUAUAAAGUUCAUGGGGUCUGCAAUUUGGUGAAGGUGUCCUUUUGGCAUUAUUUAACAUGCGUCUCUGUUCCUUGUAUUUUCUAGAAAUUAUUGGUUAUAUCUAGAGGUUUGAUCAGAUUUAGGUGAAAUUAUAAAAAGAUUCCGUCAUAGGUGAUUUUGUGAAGUUCCAUCAGAAGGUACCCAUCUGGUUUUCUCUCCUUUUGUGAUGCUAGCAGCCACUGAAUAUGGUAAUCUACUCCAAUCAUUAACUAAAUUUCUUUUCUGGAAUUAUUCCAAAAGAGAAACUUUUUUCAUCAUGCAUUUGGUUGUCCUGAGGUAUGAUUGUAUAGGAAAAACAGGAUAACCUACUGAUACUUUCUGUUUAAACUAGUAUUCAAAAUAAUAAAAGUAGUCCCCUAGUAUUAUCUAAAGAUUUCAAAAGACUUUUAAAAAAAUUAUUGAUGAUUUUAUGAGCUCAGGGAUUAAACAUAGUCAAUCUGUUUCAAUCCCUUGCAGUUAUUCCAAUUAAUAAUCAAAUUUUCCUGCCUUUGGCUUGCGGCAGCGUAUUCAUGUUGAAUUCUGGGUCACUUUGACAUGACUCCAGUUGUCUUUGAUGGUAUCCUUUUUGUGACAAAAUGUCCCAGGAUUAUAAUUUCCUGUCCCAUACUGGGAAACAGCCAGUUCUCCAAAGAGCUCUGGAACCAUUCAGUGAGAAAUGUAUUUAGAUGCAACAUUCUGGGUGCUAAGCAUGCCCAUUAACCUGAUCAAUCUCACGUCUUUCCUUUCUUUCAGCAUUGCCAGAAAACUCAUUUCUCAGUGACACCAUUGUAAUUACUCAUUUGAUUAUCCCGCAAUACACAUAUAAGAGUCUCAGGAAAACAGUACCAUCAGCAUUAUAUGAGCUAAUUAAAAAUGUGGUGUCCUGGACUCACGAAGCCAGAAUUGCUGAGGAGAUAGCCCGAGAAUCUGAAUUUUUAGCAGACAUUUUUUUAGCAUUUCUCUCAGGUACCUUACCCGCAGGAUCAUUUCUGUGAAUAUCCAUGAGGUGAAAAAGUCUGGGAAACACUGUCCUAGACAGGAAACGCCACGAAGUGUCUGGAUCAAAGAACAGACUAUUGCUCACAGAGCACCUUCAUAGCAUUGUUCCUCAUGCCCCCGUUGCCCAAGGGGAUGGCAGGUUGAGGACCAGAUGUACUUGCAUGUUCAGGGGAUGCAGCACAGAAGAGGAACUCCAAAAUUAUUAUUAUUAUUGUUAUUAUUAUUAUUUUUGAGAUGGAGUCUCGCUCUGUCGCCCAGCCUGGAGUGCAGUGGCGUGAUCUCGGCUCACUGCAAGCUCCGCCUCCCGGGUUCACGCCAUUCUCCUGCCUCAGCCUCCCGAGUAGCUGGGACUACAGGCACGCACCGCCACGCCCUGUUAAUUUUUUUUGUAUUUUUUUUUAGUAGAGACAGGGUUUCACCGUGUUAGCCAGGAUGGUCUUGAUCUCCUGACCUCGUGAUCCACCCGCCUCGGCCUCCCAAAGUGCUGGGAUUACAGGCGUGAGCCACCGCGCCCGGCCGAACUCCAAAAUUAUUAAACUCUGAGCGUCUGCAGGUGACUGACACAUCUGCGCUUCCUUUCUUCCAGGGUGUGGGGAAGAGCGAGAAAAAGAUUUCCGCUCUGGAAGGUAAACAAAUACUCUCUGGAGAGAGAAGAGGAAUGUCCCUAGCAGAUGUCUCCAGAGAAGACAAGACUUUAAAUUCCGCCAGGGAAAUAUACAAUGUCUAACUUCUAAGGCACAUUUGCCAUUCAAUCAUGCUUUAACCCACGUUGCCAGAAAUUUUUGCUCACUAGGUUUUGACUGUACAGGAAUGUGAAAAUAUUCAUGAAGAGUUGUUUUCCAAUGCUAAAGAAUUGAUGUGUUUUAACAGUUGAAUUAAUUGUAUUGAUUAUGAUCACACCUACUUUUUAUAUAUCUUCAUUUCUAACGUUUCUGUACAAUCCUGCCUUUCCACCUGAUAUAGUUAGGCCUUGUGUCAUCAACCAAAUCUCAUCUUGAAUUGUAAUCGCCAUAAUCCCCACGUAUUUAGGGAGAGACCUGGAGGGAGGUGUUUGGAUCAUGGGGGCGGUUUCCCGCAUGCUGUUCUCAUGACCAUGAGAGUAAGUUCUCAAGAGAUCUGAUGGUUUUAUAAGCGUCUGUCAUUUCCACUGCUUGCACUUCUGUGUCCUGCCACCUUGUGAAGAAGGACGUGGUUGCUUCCCCUUCCACCAUGAUUGUGUUUCCUGAGGCCUCCCCAGCCUUGCAGAGCUGUGAGUCAAUUAAACCUCUUUCCUUUAUAAAUUACUCAGUCUCUGUAUUCCUCUGCAGCAGUGUGAGAACAGACUAAUACAUCACCACUUUAUUUACUUUACUCUCUCCCCAUACCGAGGUUUUCUACAUUUUCUUUCUAGGUCUCUACAGUUUCUGCAAAGAUCCUUUAUGGAACUCUUAGGGAAGCUGGGAUGUAUAAUAAAUAAAGGGCUCUUUUCUUUGAGUCCCACACCCAUUUUCUGUGUAUAAAAAUCUUCAACUCCACUUUUGUCUGUUCUAUUUAAAUGUGUGCACAUUUCCUUCUAAUGUUGUAUAUGAAAAAGAGACACCUCUUAGCAGUCUUUCAUAGAGCAAAAUUUUUUACUUUGAUAAAAUCUAAUUUAUCAAUAUUUUUAAAUUUUAUGGAUCAAUCAUGCUUUUGAGGUUGAAUUUAAGAAUGCUUUGCCUAGCCCUAGAUCCCAAGUAUCUUUUAAAAAUUAUUUUUCUAAAUGCAUUAUUUAUGUUUUACACUUAAGUCUAUAAUCCAUUUUGAGUCCAUGUGUAAGAUUUAGGUUAAGGUCAAGAUUUAUCUGUUUUUGUUGUUUUCUCUAUAAAUGUCAAUUGCUCCAGCACUAUUUGUUUAAAAGCCAAUCUUUCCUCCGCUGAGUUCUUCCUAUAAGUUUGUCAAAAGUCAAUUUGGCAUCUUUGUAUAAGUUUAUUUCUGGAUUCUCUAUUCUGUUUUAUUGAUCACUGCAUCUAUCCCUCUUGAUUAGCUAGAUAAUAAAUCCUACAAUAAGGUAGAAUUCUUCCCACUUUAUUCAUAUUCAAAAUAUUUUAAAGCUAUUCUAGUUUCUUUUUAUUUCCAUAUAUAUUUUAGGAUAAUCUUAUCUAUAUUUACAACAUAUGUUGCUAGGAUUUUGAUAGAAUUUGUUUUAAAUUUGUGUAUCAAUGUAGGGAAGACCUGACAUCUUUACUAUUACGUUGAUCUUCCAAUCAAUGAAUAUGGUAUAUCUCUCAGUUUAUAGCUAUUGUCUUUAAUUUAUUUCAUCAUGGUUUUUAGUUUUCAGCAGAGAAGCUUUAUACAUGUUUUGUUAUACAUGUAUAACAAAAGAAGCCUUAUACACUGACAUUUUAUAUUUUGAACAAUUGUAAAUGGUAUUGUUUAAAAAUUUUGUUGUCUAUGAUAGAAAUAAAAUUGAUUUUUGUAGGUUUAUCUUGUAACCUAUGACUUGCUGAGCUCGCUCAUUAGUUUUUUUAUUGUGAUAAAAUAUACAUGAGAUAAAUUUCAUCAUUAUAAUCAUUAAGUUUAGACAUCAAUUGCAUUAAGUACAUAAAUGCCUUAUGCAACCAUCAUCUCUAUCCAUCUCCAGACCCUUUGCAUCACCCUAAAAUGAAACUCUGUGCCCAUUAAACAAUAACUCCCCAUUCUGCCCUCACCCCAGCCCUUGGUAAUUACCAUCCUACCUUUUAUCUCUAUAAAUUUAACCAUCCCAGGUAACUCAUAUAAGUGGAAUCAUGCAGUGUUUGUCCUUUUGUAACUGGUUUAUUUCACUUAGCAUGAUGUCUUCAAGGUUUGCCUAUGUCAUAGCAUGUGUCAGAAUUUCAUCCCUUUUUAAACUUAAAUAAUAUUCCACUGUAGGCAUAUGCCACAUUUUGUUUAUUUGUUCAUCUGUUGAUGGGCAUUUGGGUUGUUUCCACCUUUUGGCUACUGUGAAUAAUGCUGCUGUGAUCAUGGGUAUGCAACUGUCUCCUGGAGUCCCUGCUAUCAAUUCUUGUGGGUAUAUACCCAGAAGUGGAAUUGUUGCAACAUAUAGUAAUUCUAUGUUUAAUUUUUUGAGGACCUGCCAUAAUGUUUUCCACAGUAGCUACAUUGUCUUAUAUUCCCAUUAAGAGUUCCAAUUUCCUCACAUCUUCACCAAUACUUAUUGUUUUCUGUUUUUUUAAAUAAUAGCCAUCAUAAUAAAAGUAACAUGGUAUCUCAUUGUGGUUUUAACUGCAUUUCCCUUUUUACUGGAUUGUUUGUAAUAUUGCUGUAAUUGAGUUGUAGGAGUUUUUAAAUAUGUUCUGAAUAAUUAAUUUCUUAUCAGAUAUGUCAUUUGCAAAUAUUUUCUGCCAUUCUCUGGGUUGUCAUUUCACUCUCUUGAUAGUGUCCUUUGAUGCACAGAAGUUUUGAAAUUUGAUAAAGUUUAAUUUGCGUAUGUAUUUAUUUUGUUGCUUAUGCUUUUGGUGUCAUAUCCAAGAAAUUAUUGCCAAAUUCAGUGUCAUGAAGAUUUUCCCCUGUGUUUUCCUCUAAGAGUAUUAUAGUUUUAACUCUUGCACUUAGAUUGAUCCGCUUUGAGUUAAUUUUAGUAUAUGGGGUAAGACAAGGGCUCAAAUUUGUUCUUUUGUUUGAAGAUUCUAGGUCAUUUGUGAUCUUUAGGAUUUUCUAUGUAGACAUUAAUGUCAUCUUCAAAUAUGAACAGUUUAUUUCUUCCUUUUGUAUAUGUAUGAAUUUACUUUCCUUUUCUUGCCUUAUUGCACUGGCUAGAGUUUUCAGUACUAUGAUGAAUAAAAUCAGUGAGAGCAGACACCCUUGCUUUGUUUCUAAUCUUAGGAGGAAAGCUUUCAGUCUUUCAUCAUUAGGUAUACUGUUAGUUGUAGGCUUAUUAUAGAUGCUCUUUAUCAGGUUGAGGCAGUUUCCUCCUUGGUUAAGACUUUCUAUUUUUCAUUUUCAGUUAUGACCAGGCAUGUUCAUAACUGCUCAUCAAAACUUUGAAUUAGUGGCUGCUUUAACAUCCUUCUCAGACAAUUCUAACAUCUGUUUUGUUGGUGGUGGCAUCUAUCAAUUGUCUUUUUCAUUCUGUUUGAGAUCUUCCUUGCGUUUGGUAUGAUUUUUUUAAAUAUUAUGUCAUGAAACUGCAUCUUAUUUAAAUCUUCUGUUUUAGUUGGCUAUGUCUGACAUCACUUCCCCAGGGGAAGGUGUUGUUACUGCUAGUGGAGGGUGAGAAUUAUGGCUCUCCACUGACAUUGUGGUGGGAUUGGUCCCAUUACCACUGGGCAGGGUUGAAAGUCCUGACUUUCUGCUAGGCCUUCUCUGACUUCAUCGCAGCAGGAGGAAAAGAUGCCUCUGGAGUUGAAGUCAGGUUGCACUGACACUGUGUGUGUAUGGAGGUAGGCUGGGGUGAAAGUGGAGACUCAUUACCACAUGGUGAGUAGUUUCCAGCUCUCUAUUUGGCCUUCUCUGAUACCACCCAGACAGGGACAUUGGGGAUACCUCAUUACAGCCUAGUGAGGGUCAAACUCUAGGCUCCCCACUCAGUCUUUGCUAUCAUGGACACUGUAGGACCAUAGUUUUUUCUGUGCUGUUUGCUUGAUGUGUCUUCCUUGGACCCUGAGUUCCAUAGCUGGUCUGCAUUCCUCUCUCCACCUUUAAGACGUCUUCUUAUGUUUAUUUCAUAUUUAACAUCCAGGGUGGUAAUUAGAGGGAAGAAUAGAGGGAAAAGUACAGUUGCACUUUGUUGUUCAAAGAGCAGUUUUGAACUGCACAGACCCAUUUCUCUGAGCACACCCAGGGAUGAUUGUACUUGUAUAAAAUUUUUUUCCUGGAUGCAGAAUUCUCAAUUGACUGUGAAAGUUCAUAACAAAGAAAACAGUGGGGAAGACAAAUCUGGAAAUGAGGAAAAUAAAAAUUAAAUAGUGAGACCACCCAUGGAGCUUGUGGCAAAGCCUGAAUUGAAUCCGCUGUAUCUUAAGAUUGUGCCUCAUUCUAAAUUUAAGUCACCCUUCUCAUUAUGAAAGUGUCACAACUUCUCAGUAGGUGAGGAGACAGUCUAAAUUUGAGAAAAGAAAGUUACAACAAAGGUUUUGAGCAAGCUGCUAAGUGGAUUUAUUCAUGUUUGAGAAAUCAAAUAUAUGGUUAAUGAGCUCUUUAACUAGAAGCCAACACUAGGGAGGAGUAGACAGAAGUCACGGGGAGGGAGCCCCCGGACAUUUCAAAAGACUUUGCCCUGCAACAUCUCCUCCACAUUUAAGCUUUUAGGUUAUUGUAGCCACAUCACAAGCAUGUUACCUACCCAGAUAUUGUCUGCGCAUCAUUCCCAAAAGCUUCCCUGGGUCUUCAUAAUAUUAAUGAGAUUCUCCCCCAGGUUAGACCCCUUUGGCUUGAGUCAGAAACAGAAUUAAUCCGGGGGACAAUCCAGCAGCACCCAUCUCUGGGUUGCAGAAAUAUCUGAGGUGACCAGGCAGUGUUUGGAGUCCCCUCAGUUAGCUAACAAAGUGAGUUCACAGCUUCCAAGACCCCAGGCUUUCCAGGCUAAUAAAGAGCUGAGGUUAUAGGCUCUCCUUAUCAAACGCUCUUUGGCAGCUGCCAUAACCAUUCCAAGUCUAGUCCUAGAAUAGAAAUGACGCGGUUUCAGGAGCUGACAGAUGGAACUUUAAGCCUUCCUUCCUGCCACAUCUGAAGUUCUUUUUUAAAAAAAUAGAAAACCAUGACAAUAAACACUCCUUGAAUGCCCUGUGGAAAAGUGUACUCCUCAGAAUUCACUAAAGUGGGGUGAAGCAGUGGGUUGUGGUGCUGAGAAAACAUCUCUUCCCCUCGGCAGUAUAUUGGAAUCUCAUAGAAACUUCUGUGGCUGGGAAGCAAACAUGCUCUCUGCCCCAUUGCUCUUAUUCAUCUUUAGACCUGAUAAUACAGUUUGAACUUCAAGUUGCACUUUAAAUGGCAUGCAUUUUUA